rnacentral:lncRNA from 1 species
CUCUCUUUUUUUCGAUUUCUUAUUUUAUUAUUGUUCUCGUUUCGUGUUCUGAUUGCUUGGCGUGUUGUAUUAGCAGAUAUCCGGGACCUCUCAGAAAUUAGGGUUUUCCUAGUUUCCUUAUUUAAACGGAAAUCGACAGUGCGAAUUUCGGUUCCCACACGGCCGAGUUUAUUUCAUUAACAACUAAAGCCCAGAAGUUACCACAAGUUACCAUAAUACCCUUGGAAGACUCUGAACCCUACUUAUGUGUUUUCUAGGUCAUUUUUGACGGCUACGCUUUCUAUUAUUCAUUAGUCUUGUUUUAUGGUUAGAGAGAAGAUCAAUUCUCCUUACACAACAUUUAAGGUAUUUGGCUAAAUUAUGUGAACCAAUAAGAUUAUAGUUUUAGUGUAAACUAACCCGUCCAUAGGGCGGACCAACCACUAGUUUUAGGCGAUGCAAAAUAAAAAGAAUUGUCCUUUUAUCAUUAAAAAUUACCUUAAUGUGGAUCCUACCCACACUAGGUAUUUGGCAGUGUUUAAAUGUACAAUUAGGGAAUAAAAAAGAUGAGGGUAACAAUAUCGUCAUAACACAAUGAUGUAAUCAGAUCCCGAUUGAGAAAAAUAGAUUUUAUUGAGUUAAUAUGAUUGAAUACAAUGAUUGAAUGAGAUCGAGAUACAAUUGGAGUGAAACUAAAAUCGAUUACAAGGUGAAAGGAAUAAGGGAGCUUGAGGUCGAGGUCGGUGUGUUUGGUGUAAUACUUUAGGGUUUCACUUGUCCCGUUCUCUGUCUUCCUCUCUCUUCUUAUAGAUGUAUUAUCCCGAGAUUGACUCAACUGUUUCGAGAUAGUCGGGAUCUCG